GACGAACGCUGGCGGCGUGCUUAACACAUGCAAGUCGAACGGAAAGGCCCCUUUGGGGGUACUCGAGUGGCGAACGGGUGAGUAACACGUGAGUAACCUGCCCUUGACUUCGGGAUAACUUCAGGAAACUGGGGCUAAUACCGGAUAGGAAUCCUUGCUGCAUGGUGGGGGUUGGAAAGCUUCGGCGGUUUUGGAUGGACUCGCGGCUUAUCAGCUUGUUGGUGGGGUAGUGGCUUACCAAGGCUUUGACGGGUAGCCGGCCUGAGAGGGCGACCGGCCACAUGGUAUGGGGCAGCCGGCCCAGACUCGGGGGGGGGGCGGAGGUGGAGAGUAUGGCAGGAGGGGAGCAAGGCGGUGGCGGCACCGGGGCGGGGGGGAGGAGGGGGUUGGGAUUGACACCCGCUUUCAGAGGGGGGGGGGUGUGGGGUGACGGUACGGGCAGAAGAAGCACCGGCAAAUGACGGCCCAGCGGCCGCGGUAAUAAUGGGAAGAGCAUGCGUCUUACC
rnacentral:rRNA from 1 species